AGUUGUUAAUGUCUGUGUCAUUUUGGUCUUUUGUGGAUAGUUGUCUCAUUGGCAAUCAUACCACAUCUUCUUUUUUAUAUUUAUUCUAAAACCUGUUCAUUUUUUAGGUAGUUAAGCUGCCUUAUGCUAGUUUACAAUGGUACGGGAUAACUAUAAUUCCUGGGUACAGUAUAUCUAACAAUAUAAAUGUUCCUAGCAGGCC
rnacentral:lncRNA from 1 species